rnacentral:lncRNA from 1 species
UAGGAACAAAACCAGACCUGCUGGACUCCACAGCUCCAGGCCCUACACCACUAUUCUGUGAUGGCCAGAACAGCCCAGUGCGAUCAAGGCUGUUGAUAGGAAGCUUCCAGAAGAGAGCUGAGGUUGAGCUCAUGCUCAUAGUUAGGGAAAAGACUAUGAAAUGGACACACACUAAAAGGAGAAAAACAAAACGCUGACCCUGUUUGCUUGAGGUAGCACAAAGCUACUGUCAGUUCAGAGUCCGAAAAAGGUUAGUGUUAAAGGUGCCGAGGUGGACAGAUGUAAGGGACUGUUCUUAUACCACCUAGAAGUACUUGUUGGGAUCCAAAUUUAGGUAUGACAUCAGCAGAGGAUGCUACACAACAGUCCAACUGUCCUCUCUCCCAACACUGGAACAACUCAUGCAUUUGACCCUUUGCAGAGAAGUUGUUGGAGAUGAACCUUCCACAUGCUGGGUA